rnacentral:lncRNA from 1 species
UGACACUUAUAAGCCAUUGCCAUAUAUUGGGACUGCAGUUUCCACUAUGCACAAUAUUGCACCAAUAGUUAUGUGAAGUUCUCUGGAAGGGUAAAGCUCUUUUUUAAAAGAACAUGAGAUAAUAUUAGUUGCAUUCUUCUAUGAUGCACACAAUUUGUUGCAUAAUAGAUGCUUUUGAACACGACAGGGACAAUAUUUGUUGAGUGCAGAAUCAUUAGGAUUUCCUUGCUGAAGAACCAUAUAAAGUGUUCCCCGAGAUGAGAUUUGAAGCUAAAUUCAUUUAUAAAGCACCUUAUUUAGUGCCUGGAUACGUAUCAAAGGUAAUAAUUUUAAAUUGAAGAUACAUUAAAAGGUCCACCAUUUACCAUCGCUUUGCGAUGUGCCUGACCUCAUUCAUCUUCUCUCAUUUAAUACAUCCUUUUCUUGUAGAGGACUACGAAUGUUCCUGAUUUUAUCUAAUGUACCGUCUUCCUCCACAUCCAUUCUCCCUCUGGCAAUUGAAGAACACUGCUGCCACAGGAGGUCCAAG